rnacentral:rRNA from 1 species
ACAUCCAGCGAACUUGGCAGAGAUGCCUUGGUGCCUUCGGGAACGCUGAGACAGGUGCUGCAUGGCUGUCGUCAGCUCGUGUUGUGAAAUGUUGGGUUAAGUCCCGNAACGAGCGCAACCCUUAUCCUUUGUUGCCAGCGAUUCGGUCGGGAACUCAAAGGAGACUGCCGGUGAUAAACCGGAGGAAGGUGGGGAUGACGUCAAGUCAUCAUGGCCCUUACGAGUAGGGCUACACACGUGCUACAAUGGCGCAUACAAAGAGAAGCGACCUCGCGAGAGCAAGCGGACCUCAUAAAGUGCGUCGUAGUCCGGAUCGGAGUCUGCAACUCGACUCCGUGAAGUCGGAAUCGCUAGUAAUCGUGGAUCAGAAUGCCACGGUGAAUACGUUCCCGGGCCUUGUACACACCGCCCGUCACACCAUGGGAGUGGGUUGCAAAAGAAGUAGGUAGCUUAACCUUCGGGAGGGCGCUUACCACUUUGUGAUUCAUGACUGGGGUGAAGUCGUAACAAGGUAGGCGUAGCGAG